GUAAGAGUUUCAGUUGGCUGGGUUUCGCUUUCAGUUUUCACCCUUUCGGCUUGCUGUACAGACUGCUGCCACACCGGCUGGCUAGGUUGCUCUAGUCUUUAUCCAGUAGCUGAUGGAAGCAGAAGCAGACACCCACGGCUAAACACUGAGCUGAACUCUGGAAUCCAAUUGCAGAGAGGGAGGAGUGAUGAGAAAAGGGGUCAAGACAAGGCUGGAGAAACCCACAGAAAUAGCUGACCUGAACAAGGGGGAGCUCAUGGACCCCAGACUCAUAGCUGGGAAACCAACCCAGGACUGUUCCAGAUCCUCUGAAGAAGAGAACCUUUCCUAACCCUGUAGGUUUCUGACAGCUGACUGGCACUGUAGCUGUGUCUUCAAAAUGCCAUUUCAUUCUUCUGUAAGGCCAACUGCUUCAGGGUGGUAUAGAACAUGAAGAUAGACCAUGAAACAACGAGUACAACCUCCCAAUGCUGUCUGAAGCUGUCCUUGGAGAAGCCACAUAUGAAGAUGUAAUAUGCUAUCUUACUACAAGGAGAAGUAAGCUGAUUAAUAGUGAAUAAAAAUGGCAGUCGUUUUAGAGGACUCAGAGAAUAUUUCCCCAGGAACAUGACAUUUGGACACAAAGCUGAUAAAACAUGCAGCAAGAAAGCCUUGUCAGCGUCUAAAUGGAAAAGAACCAAGACAAGGAAGAACAAGUGUGAGGACUCUGACAGGUAACAAGCUCAGUCUGAACAAAAGAAGACAUCGAAAAUGUUAGUGCUGAAUUUUGCUUCAUCUGAAGAAUAGUACAAGAGUUGGUUAUAAGUAGAAGAAUACUCUAUGCUUUUUAAGAUUAUAAAUAUUUAUUUCUAGAACCAUUAUUUCAUUUUAAGUUAAAGAGCUAUCGGUGUGAAACAGAACUUGUAAGAAACCCCAACUUGAAUGUCAGUGUAUUUUGUCAUGUAUGAAUUUAUAUUUAGCUCUUGAAUUUAGUUUACAUAAUGAAAAUAUGUUCAGACAGUUAAAUGAAACCUCCCAUCUCUAUUUUAAGAUGUAAACAACUGACAGUAUCCUUUUAUAUUUUCUUGUCAUGCUUCUUCCUGAGUUUACUCUUUUAGAUGAAGAUCCUUUGGCCAUCCUUUCAUAAACUAUAUUGGAUGAGGUUUAGCCUGUACUAUGUUUUUACCACUUUAGAAUAUAAAUACAUAUAACAUUUGACUGGUAAUAAAAGUUGUUUAUUUAUCCUGUCAUUACAGAUUAUUAGAAAUUUUCUUUAAUU
rnacentral:lncRNA from 1 species